AAUUAGAAAGCGAAUUUAUUGCAUUUAGUUUCGACCUAAAUUUUGACAUCCUUAAGUCUCUAAUUA
rnacentral:tRNA from 1 species